AGCGAACGCUGGCGGUAGGCCUAACACAUGCAAGUCGAACGAAGCCUUCGGGCUUAGUGGCGGACGGGUGAGUAAAACGUGGGAACGUACCUUUUGGUUCGGAAUAAAUCAGGGAAAAUUGAGCUAAUACCGGAUGAGCCCUUCGGGGGCAAGGUGUAUCGCCAUUAGAGCGGUGCGCAUUAGAUUAGCUAGUUGGUGAGGUAAAGGCUCACCAAGGCUACGAUCUAUAGCUGGUCUGAUAGGAUGAUCAGCAACACUGGGAGUGAGACAAUGCCCAGACUUCUCCGGUAGGCAGCAAUGGGGGAUCUUGCGCAAUGGGCGAAAACCUGACGCAGUCAUGCCGCGUGAAUGAUGGAGGUCUUAGUAUUGUAAAAUUCUUUUACCAGGGACGAUAAUUACGGUACCUGGAGAAAAAGCCCCGGCUAACUUCGUGCCAGCAGCCGCAGUUACAC
rnacentral:rRNA from 1 species